GCCUGAUGCAGCGACGCCGCGUGAGGGAUGAAGGCCUUCGGGUUGUAAACCUCUUUCAGCAGGGAAGAAGCGCAAGUGACGGUACCUGCAGAAGAAGCACCGGCUAACUAC
rnacentral:rRNA from 1 species